CACGUCAGAUGAACAAGGUCGCACAGAUAAAUAAUAUAAAUGCAAAGAAUCAGAUGUCACUGUUGUAAUGUGAGAGAGAGUGAUAAUAAUGCAAAGAAUCGAGAAUGUUCAAAUAAUUAUCUCUUUCCUGCAAGAAUCCAAAAAGAAGACAUAGUAGAUGGAAAUGAAAUCGAUUUACCGCGGAUGAAGUUCGUUGAUGGAGAGGAACCAGUCGCCGUUAGGGUUUUCACUUACCUCAGAUGAUGUUCGCCGAAGAAGAGGAACCGGUCGACGUUAGGGUUCAAGUAACCAUACUGUUAGUUGUGCUUAUUGGCCGAUAAGUGGUCAUCCUCCAAGGCUGCACUUUGGUUAUGCGAAACAAAAGGUCAUACGGAUGUGUUAUUUGGAACAAAGAAUUGGCAAAUCGUGACAAAAAUUCUUUGGUUCUACAAAUAUUUUAAAAUAAUGCACACAUCUGCAAUUACCAUCAAGAAUUUGUAUAUUCACCUAAAUAGCCCAAAUUAUAUAGUGUCGUUGUUGCUGCAAUAACUUUUUUGAAUAUGUAGGUUUUAUUUUUGCUUUUCUAUUAAAACCCACUAUUUUUCUUUCCACACAUCAAAAGUUGUUUCGAUAACAGAUCACAGUAAAAAAUGUUUGUUAAACAUUUAUUUAUAGUCAUUUGGCGGACUAGCUACAUCAUAUAGGAUAAUUUAUUUCCCUUUAAUAUGGAGUAAAAAAAUUAAGGUCAAAACAGAUAACCAGAAUCUUCUAAAUAAUAUUAUUUUCAAAAGACAAAAUCCUUUAAAUAAAAUAAAUUUUGAAAGGUGCGGAAAUCCGUGUUCGAAAACGCGCCGCGUUAACCGAGUUCUCGGCCGGACAGGCGCUGGGCGUGUGACCACCGUGGCGAAAAGGAUCUGAUCGGCGUGGCCAGGCGGUGACCCACUGUUUCUCCGAGUUCAUCGUCGAACUGAAAAAAUAGACGCACAAAAUCUCAAUACUGAGUUGUUUGAAUCUAAAAAUAUUGACCCCAGAUCUCCUAAAUCGAAAUUAAUUGAAUGGCUUUUGCUGUUAGCAUCAAGAAAACUAAAAAAAAACGAAGGACAAUCUGUAUUUGGAGAAGAAACACGGCUAGGGUUGCAGAGAGAUUGGGAAAAGAGACUGUGGCAAUAUUGUAAUUAUCAUUUAAUAAAGCAAAGUGUAAUUUUAAAAAAAAAAAUGUUAACGAAGAGGUUCGAACCAGGUUCACGUGUGGAUAUUUACCACUUUUCAACCACCAGACCAUGUACACAUUUUACUUUAGAUACCAAAUUUAACAUAUAUAACCAUAUUGUUUUAAAAUUACCCCCCGAUUACUCCACGAUUAAUCUCCGAUUUUUUUAAAAAUCGCUAGGCCCGGACUGGCCGCCCGACUCACGCCUAGCGUAGUUUCGAACAUGGGCGGAAAUUGAUAAGGCCCUUCCAUUGCCAGCGCUAAAAAUUUAGCAGCGUGAGCUGAUACCAAAAUACAUGUAUAUGCAUAUGCAAACAACAUGUCCAUAUUGCAUAUAUCUAAAAUAUUCAUACUCGUUUCACUUUUCCUAUUCCAAUUCCAAAAUUAUUCUGAAUAUGUUCCCCUAAUAGUGAUAGAAACGUGUGUUUCAUCGUUUGUCCCGAUAAAUCUUUCAAAUGACCAGUACGACAAUUUAUUUGUUCCAUUUCAUUUUCAUAUAUUUUAGGAAAUAUAUGCACCAUACUAUCUUUCCAUUGUAUUUUCCAUUUGCUAUUAAUAUCAUACAUUAGUUACUCAAUUAAACUAUAUAAUCAGUCUAUUAAAAAUAUUAUUUAGUAAAUAAAUACCUCUUUGCCAUUUGAUGAUUGUCAUUGGUGUGUCAUAUGUAUAAGAAGAUACACCACUAAUAGUUAAUAGAUAUUAGUAUUUAUUUAUAAGAAGAU